CACUUCUAAGGAAGGCAGCAGGCGCGCAAAUUACCCAAUCCUGACUCAGGGAGGUAGUGACAAGAAAUAACAAUAAACCGGCUUAUGCCGGUUUAAUUGGAAUGAGUACAAUUUAAACAUCUUAACGAGGAACAAUUGGAGGGCAAGUCUGGUGCCAGCAGCCGCGGUAAUUCCAGCUCCAAUAGCGUAUACUAAAGUUGUUGCAGUUAAAAAGCUCGUAGUUGGAUUUCUGUGGGGACGGGGCGGCCGGCCGCAACACGCGGUUCGAGCUAGCGCUUUCCCUACAUCCUGCCGCGAACCGUGCUACCAUUAAUUUGGUGGCGCCGGGGAUCGGCUCGAUUACUUUGAGAAAAAUAGAGUGUUCAAAGCAGGCCACACGCCUUGAAUAAGUUAGCAUGGAAUAAUAACUAAGGACUUCGGUUCUAUUUUGUUGGUGUUCGGGACUGAAGUAAUGAUUGAUAGGGACAGUUGGGGCGGUCUGUAUUCCAAAGCGAGAGGUGAAAUUCUUAGACCUUCGGAAGACAAACAGCUGCGAAAGCGUUCCGCAAGGAUGUUCCCUUUGAUCAAGAACGAAAGUUGGGGGAUCGAAGACGAUCAGAUACCGUCGUAGUCUCAACUAUAAACUAUACCAGCUAGGGAUCGGCCAACGUUAUUUCAUACCGACUUGGUCGGCACCUUAUGAGAAAUCAAAGCAUCUGGGUUCCGGGGGGAGUAUGGUCGCAAGGCUGAAACUUAAAGGAAUUGACGGAAGGGCACCACCAGCCGUGGAGCCUGUGGCUUAAUUUGACUCAACACGGGAAAACUUACCAGGUCCAGACAUAGUAAGGAUUGACAGAUUGAUAGCUCUUUCUUGAUUCUGUGGGUGGUGGUGCAUGGCCGUUCUUAGUUGGUGGAGUGAUUUGUCUGGUUAAUUCCGUUAACGAACGAGACCCCAGCCUGCUAAAUAGCGCGCGUGAGCUUUGCUCGCGGCGAGCUUCUUAGAGGGACUCUGAUGCGCGAUAGCACAUGGAAGUUUGGGGCAAUAACAGGUCUGUGAUGCCCUUAGAUGUUCUGGGCCGCACACGGGCUACACUGGCGCCUGCAUCGAGCAUAUCAGCUGGCCCGAGAGGGUCUUGGCUAAUCUUUUGAACCGGCGCCGUGCUUGGGAUUGACCUUUGCAAUUGUUGGUCAUGCAACGAGGAAUGCCUUGUAAACGCGAGUCAUCAGCUCGCAUUGAAUACGUCCCUGCCCUUUGUACACACCGCCCGUCGCUCCUACCGAUGAAUGUUCCGAUGAAAUUUUCGGAGAGCACCUGUGAACUUGGCUCUGCCUUGCGAACGGGAGGCUCAAAGUCACUUAAAUCUGAACAUUUCGAGG
rnacentral:rRNA from 1 species